GUGGGGAAUCUUGCGCAAUGGGCGAAAGCCUGACGCAGCCAUGCCGCGUGAAUGAUGAAGGUCUUAGGAUUGUAAAAUUCUUUCACCGGGGACGAUAAUGACGGUACACGGAGAAGAAGCCCCGGCUAACUUCGUGCCAGCAGCCGCGGUAAUACGAAGGGGGCUAGCGUUGCUCGGAAUUACUGGGCGUAAAGGGCGCGUAGGCGGACAGUUUAGUCAGAGGUGAAAGCCCAGGGCUCAACCUUGGAAUUGCAUUUGAUACUGGCUGUCUUGAGUACGGGAGAGGUGAGUGGAACUCCGAGUGUAGAGGUGAAAUUCGUGAAUAUUAGGAAGAACACCAGUGGCGAAGGCGACUCACUGGCCCGUUACUGACGCUGAGGCGCGAAAGCGUGGGGAGCAAAGAGGAUUAGAAACCCUAGUAGUCC
rnacentral:rRNA from 1 species